rnacentral:tRNA from 1 species
AAAAAGAUAAGCUAAGUAAGCUAUUAGGUUCAUACCCUAUGAAUAGAAGUUAAGAUCUUCUUCUUUUUA